UCCAGACUCCUACGGGAGGCAGCAGUGGGGAAUAUUGCACAAUGGGGGGAACCCUGAUGCAGCGACGCCGCGUGAGUGAAGAAGUAUUUCGGUAUGUAAAGCUCUCUCAGCAGGGAAGAUAAUGACGGUACCUGAAGAAAAAGCUCCGGCUAACUACGUGCCAGCAGCCGCGGUAAUACGUAGGGAGCGAGCGUUAUCCGGAUUUACUGGGUGUAAAGGGAGCGUAGACGGCAAUGCAAGCCAGAUGUGAAAACCCGCAGCUCAACUGGGGGAGUGCAUUUGGAACUGUGUAGCUGGAGUGCAGGAGAGGUAAGCGGAAUUCCUGGUGUAGCGGUGAAAUGCGUAGAUAUCAGGAGGAACACCAGUGGCGAAGGCGGCUUACUGGACCGUAACUGACGUUGAGGCUCGAAAGCGUGGGGAGCAAACAGGAUUAGAUACCCUAGUA
rnacentral:rRNA from 1 species